rnacentral:rRNA from 1 species
UAAGGAAUAUUGGUCAAUGGACGCAAGUCUGAACCAGCCAUGCCGCGUGAAGGAUGAAGGUCCUCUGGAUUGUAAACUUCUUUUAUCUGGGACGAAAACGGGAUUUUUAUCUCAAUUGACGGUACCAGAGGAAUAAGCACCGGCUAACUCCGUGCCAGCAGCCGCGGUAAUACGGAGGGUGCGAGCGUUAUCCGGAUUUACUGGGUUUAAAGGGUGCGUAGGUGGGCUUAUAAGUCAGUGGUGAAAUCUCCGAGCUUAACUUGGAAACUGCCGUGGAUACUAUAGGUCUUGAAUUAUCUGGAGNUAAGCGGAAUAUGUCAUGUAGCGGUGAAAUGCUUAGAUAUGACAUAGAACACCAAUUGCGAAGGCAGCUUACUACAUAUAAAUUGACGCUGAGGCACGAAAGCGUGGGGAUCAAACA